GAUGAAGAACGUAGCGAAAUACGAUAAGUAAUGUGAAUUGCAGAAUUCAGUGAAUCAUCGAAUCUUUGAACGCACAUUGCGCCCGCCAGCAUUCUGGCGGGCAUGCCUGUUCGAGCGUCAUUUCAACCCUCGACUUCCCUUUGGGGAAAUCGGCGUUGGGGACCGGCUGUAUACCGCCGGCCCCGAAAUGAAGUGGCGGCCCGUCCGCGGCGACCUCUGCGUAGUAAUCCAACUCGCACCGGAACCCCGACGUGGCCACGCCGUAAAACCCCCGACUUCUGAACGUUGACCUCGGAUCAGGUAGGAAUACCCGCUGAACUUAAGCAUAUCAAUAAGCGGAGGA
rnacentral:misc_RNA from 1 species